rnacentral:misc_RNA from 1 species
GCCUACUUCUCCUCCUGCUUCCUCUCCUCGAUUUCAUCUUCGUCUCCACCGCAGCACAAAACCGGCCACCUUACACUCCCACUGAGUCGAUACUCAUCAACUGUGGUGCAUCAUCUGAUGAUGCAUCACAGGAUGGAAGGCGUUGGAAUGGUGAUGCCCAGUCCAAGUUCUGCCCCUUCAACUCUCAAACAUCCCCACUGUCUGAAGCCUCUCAACAAGGCCACUCUGUUGACCGUGUACCUUAUAUGACAGCCCGAAUAAUUCACUCCAAACUCACCUGCACUUUCCCUGUCUUGCCUGGUCCAAAAUUUGUCC